UUCCAGACUCCUACGGGAGGCAGCAGUGGGGAAUAUUGCACAAUGGGGGAAACCCUGAUGCAGCGACGCCGCGUGAGCGAUGAAGUAUUUCGGUAUGUAAAGCUCUAUCAGCAGGGAAGAAAAUGACGGUACCUGAAGAAGAAGCCCCGGCUAACUACGUGCCAGCAGCCGCGGUAAUACGUAGGGGGCAAGCGUUAUCCGGAUUUACUGGGUGUAAAGGGGGCGCAGACGGCGAUGCAAGCCAGAUGUGAAAGCCCGGGGCUCAACCCCGGGACUGCAUUUGGAACUGUAAGGCUAGAGUGUCGGAGAGGCAGGCGGAAUUCCUAGUGUAGCGGUGAAAUGCGUAGAUAUUAGGAGGAACACCAGUGGCGAAGGCGGCCUGCUGGACGAUGACUGACGUUGAGGCUCGAAAGCGUGGGGAGCAAACAGGAUUAGAUCCCCGAGUA
rnacentral:rRNA from 1 species